UCUGCAUUAAGUGUAGUCGCGUAGUCAUUGAAACUAUAAGAAAAAUAGCUUUUAUUAUAUUUUGGCUUGGAGUCGGAACAAGAGUUAGUCCAAUAGUUCAGAUGAGCCAUGAAGUAUUCAUUUGAUGUAUAAAUACUACAGUCUUUUCUUUAUAGGGCACAUUGAUCAUUCUACUAGGGUCAUGCGCGUCAUUACAUGGAAUAGGUCCUUCAAAGGUUUACCCGACUUAGAUGAUGGAGUUGACGACUCUGAUUCUGACGAGCACGAGACUCAUGCAACAGUAUUGGACAAGAUGCUGGCAUGGGAGAAGAAGCUUUAUGAUGAAGUUAAAGUAUGCACAUUAAUAUUUAUGUUCAACUUGUCAUAUAUAUUCGGUGGAUCUUUAGACUUUGUUUCUUUAGUAAUCAUCUUGUUUAAUUUUCAUCAAAAAAGUUAUACUUAAAAAUGGAAGAGUUUCUAAAUUUCAUCUUAUUCUCAAUAAGGUGGUUGAAUUCGAAAAUUUUUCUUACAUUUUGUUGUUAAUUUUGAAUAUUGUGAACAGUUUGUUUAACAGCUUCAAUUUUUAUGUAAUAUUCUACCAAGCAUCAAAAUCUAAAUUUGGUGCUUUCAUUGAAGUUUUUGCCAUUGAUUGGCUUUUAGAUACUGGUAUCCUAGGUUCAUUGCUUCAAACCUCAAUCAGAAACUCCAGUGAGGGCAUGUACAACUGGAAACCAGCAACGUGUGACAGUGUUGAAUUUGACACCAUGUCAAAGAAAUUAAGCGUGUGACUGAUGAGUUAGCUCUGAUAUCAAAUUGACACAGAACUUUCUCAGAAUGAGAAUUAGAGAUGAUAUAAUAAAAGAAGAAUUUAGGAGGAAGAAAUCUAUAUUUAAUAUCAAUAAUUACUAUAGUAUGAAUAUAAAUGAAAUCCCAGGUUCCUUUACAUAGGAUAAAGAACUUAAAUCUCAAAGAUAAUUGUAUAACUUUCAUGGUUGGGGUAUAGCCAACUCCUGCUGGCUUGCUGGGUCUAAGUGGACAUCCCACUCAGAUUUAGAUGGUGUUUUAAUUAAAUGAAAACUUAAAUCUUAAAAAACCUCUAAUAAUCAACAACCUUUUCUUGUAAAAUUCUAGUUAAUCAAAACUACUGAAAUGUAAUGUAAAUCAAAAUCUAAAGAGGGAGGUAUAUAUGUUCAUAUCCAGUCAAAAUAUUAUACUGAAGGGAUUAAGAUGUAAAGUGAAAACCAAUCAAAAUUUUGUAGAGGAUAUUUGUCGUCAUAAAAGGAGGAGACAAGCCAAGUAUACAUUUAGUCAGUCCUACGCUUUCAAGAAAUGGUAUAGAUUUCCCUUGUAAUAAAAUUAGAUUUUAGCCUAUGAUUCUUGAAUUUGACAUGGUAUCUCCUAAUUUUGUUGUUGCAAAAAAAUGUCGGUUUUGGACAUUCAUUGCUGCUACCGGAAUGAGAGAGCAGUCCCAAUCAAUUUUCUUUCUUUUUUUCUUGGUAUUCAAUUGAUUAGUGUUAAAACAAGAUUCUUCAUUAUAGUUUUGUAUCUUGACUGCUUGAUUCAUCUCUGUGGCCUUCACUGUCUACCCUUAUAUAUGUAUCCUGAAUUCCUGAUGUGGCCCAUAUUUGAUGAACACAUACCAGAAAUAUCCUGCUGUAUCUAGUGAUCAAUAUUUAUUUAUUAGUAAUGGCGAAGAUGAUAAAUUUUUUGAAUCCCACAAAAUAUUCUCUGUUUCUUUGCCACUUAAUGCCGUGUAAUGUUUGUCUCUGAAUCUCUCUCUCCAUUAAGAAUAGUUUGUGGUUUGUCUUUGAUGCUACAGGCAGGUGAGCAAAUGAAACUUGAAUAUCAGAAAAAGGUAGCUUCGUUGAAUAAGUUGAAGAAACAUGGCUCAAACACAGGCGCCUUAGAAAGGAUGAAAGCAGCAGUUAGUCAUCUGCAUACCAGAUACAUUGUUGACAUGCAAUCCAUGGACUCCACCGUUUCAGAAAUUAAUAGUUUGUGCAAUGAUCACCUGUAUCCGAAACUUGUUACCCUUGUUGAUGCGUAAGUUCCUACGCUGCUAUGAGAAAUACUGCCUAUUGUCUAGCCGUUGUUGAUGAUCUGUAGCUUGCUUCCAUUAGCAUUUGUUAUAAGCAAAAUAAUUAGUGUGGCAUAUACCAUGAUCGCUUCAUGAAACACGUAACCUUAAUAUGAUACCAUAAGUUUCUCUUGCUUAUCUUCAUGUACAUGAACUUCCAGGUUUCAUUUUUCUUACUACUUCAAAAAUCAGUUAGCCUAUGUAUCUUCCAUUUAUUUUUAUCCCUAUUGCAAAUGAAUAUCAAAUUUGAUUUUUCCCUUUUGUUACUGCAAAGUUCUUUACACAAGAUUGCAUUGUUCUUGUUGAGGAUGUAAUUAAAAUAAAUAUAUUUGUCCUUUCAAUAACAACUAAAGCUGUUAAAUUGAUGUGACUUGACUUGGUAACAGAGCACUUAAAGUUCCUUAACUCAAGUCCAGAUAUCAUCUAUCAUGAAAAUUUUGCUCAUGUUGGCCUUUGAUGUAUGUGAGGUGCCCCUUGAAGAUAUAGUUUAAAUAAAUAUGUUUGUCCUCUCUCUAUCAUCUUAAUCUUUUAGAUGAGAUGGUAAAUUGGUCCAAGCCAGGUAUUUGGUCAAAGCCAUGAGGAUCCCCUCUAAAUGAUAGACUGAUGGAUAUUCAUGGUUAUGCAUUGUAAUCAGCAUUUAAAUUACCUAAAUUUUAUAACUUUUAUUUUUUAAAUUUCGUUCUCGUGCCAAUUUUGAAGAAAAUUGUUUUUAGAAAAUUACAAUUUCUGUAAAGGUUUUCACAUAUACGGCCCUAUAAAGUUAGCUUCCUUUUUUUUUUUUUUUUUUUUCUUUUUUUUAAUCCUUAUUAACCUUAAAAACUAUAUUAAGUCCUUUCUUAUUGAUCACAGGAUGGCUAUAAUGUGGAAAACGAUGAGAAUGUACCAUGAAAAACAAUCUAAAAUUGUGCUAGCUUUGAAGCAUGUGGACAUUCCUCAAUCUCCUAAACAAACAAGUGACCACCACCACGAGCGCACUCAACUUUUAUGUUAUGUUGUUCAGGAUUGUCAUUCACGUUUAAGUGAACUCGUGUCUCAGCAGAAAGAAUAUAUUAAAUCUCUCGACGACUGGUUGAAGUUAAAUCUCAUUCCUAUAGAUACAAACUUGAAAGAGAAAGUUUCAUCUCCCCGUGGGACCCAAAAUCCCCCAUUACAGACACUUUUGCAAGACUGGCAGGAUUACCUCCAGAAUAUUCCUGAUGAGCCGAAAUCAACUAUUAAAAAUUUUGCUGUUCAGAUUCAGACUAUAUGGCAGGAUCAGAAAGAGGAGUUGGACUUAAGAAACAAAUGUGCAGAGUCGGAGAAGGAGCUUAUGAGAAGGUCCCGCGAGUUCAAGAAUUGGCAUAAUAAAUAUAUACAGAGGAGAACCCCACCUGAUGUAAUGGAUGCAGAUAGAGCACACGAUAAGGAUUUUAUUGCAGAAAGGGAGCAUAUUGUUGAAGCAGCAAAAUUGAAAUUGAGAGGUGAUGAGGAAGCAUACCAAAGGCUGUGCAUGCAGGUCAGAGAGAGAUCUAUGGCGAGCCUCAAAAGCAAUUUACCAGGACUUUUUGAGGCACUGUCAGAUUUUUCUCUUGCUUGUUCAGAUAUGUAUAACAACUUGAGGUCCAUCGAGCAUUCACGAAAUAGAAGUCAGGGUUGAUGAAGAAACGCUGAUUAUAUCAUUCCAUGCUAUUGGGUAAAUAUUUGUUUCACACUUUCAAAAUAAAUUCUACUUUGUUGUAUCUUUAUGUGAAAUAUGGAGUGUUUAAUGUAACUUGUGAAUUAAUUCAUUGGUAUGUAAGGUGUGUUUUAUAUGACAUAUGACUGUCAAGGGGGUCUUAAAUGGUAUUUCUUUGUUAUACACUUGUACGUACUUGUGUUUUAUACUUGUGAAUUAAUACAUUAAUACUUGUUUUGU
rnacentral:lncRNA from 1 species